GAUAAACGCUGGCGGCGUGCAUAACACAUGCAAGUCGAACGAUGAAGCUUAAAAGAUUUCUUCGGAAUGAACUUAAUUGGCUUAUUGGCGGACGGGUGAGUAACUCGUUAGUAACCUGCCUUGUACAAGGGGAUAGCCGUUGGAAACGACGAAUAAUACCCUAUGACAUCAAAUAAUCGCAUGAUAAUUUGAUCAAAGAUGUAUCGGUAUAAGAUGGACUCGCGUCUGAUCAGCUAGUGGGAAGAGUAAACGCCUACCAAGGGAACGAGCAGUAGCCGGCUUGGAGGAGCGGACCGGAACACUGGGACUGGGACACGGCCCAGAUUCCUACGGAAGGGCGAAGUGGGGACGGAUGCACACCGCGGGAGUGACGGAGGCCGCGGGGCCGUGUGACUUAGAAAGUAUUGGGGUUGAAAAAAGCAUGUGUAUAGGAAGGAAUUGACGGUACCAAACGAAUAAGGCCCGGCUAAUUACGUG
rnacentral:rRNA from 1 species